rnacentral:rRNA from 1 species
UGGGGAAUUUUGGACAAUGGGCGAAAGCCUGAUCCAGCAAUGCCGCGUGUGUGAAGAAGGCCUUCGGGUUGUAAAGCACUUUUGUCCGGAAAGAAAUCCUUGGCUCUAAUACAGUCGGGGGAUGACGGUACCGGAAGAAUAAGCACCGGCUAACUACGUGCCAGCAGCCGCGGUAAUACAUAGGGUGCAAGCGUUAAUCGGAAUUACUGGGCGUAAAGCGUGCGCAGGCGGUUUGCUAAGACCGAUGUGAAAUCCCGGGCUCAACCUGGGAACUGCAUUGGUGACUGGCAGGCUAGAGUAUGGCAGAGGGGGGUAGAAUUCCACGUGUAGCAGUGAAAUGCGUAGAGAUGUGGAGGAAUACCGAUGGCGAAGGCAGCCCCCUGGGCCAAUACUGACGCUCAUGCACGAAAGCGUGGGGAGCAAACAGGAUUAGAUACCCUGGUAGUCCACGCCCUAAAACGAUGUCAACUAGUUGUUGGGGAUUCAUUUCCUUAGUAACGUAGCUAACGCGUGAAGUUGACCGCCUGGGGAGUACGGUCGCAAGAUUAAAACUUAAAUGAAUUGACGGGGUCAUAGCUGUUUCCU